GACGAACGCUGGCGGCGUGCUUAACACAUGCAAGUCGAACGGUGAAAGGGAGCUUGCUCCCUGGAUCAGUGGCGAACGGGUGAGUAACACGUGGGCAACCUGCCCCAGACUUCGGGAUAACGCUUCGAAAGAGGUGCUAAUACCGGACACGAACUCCUUGGGCAUCCUUGGAGUUGGAAAGUUUUUCGGUCUGGGAUGGGCCCGCGGCCUAUCAGCUUGUUGGUGAGGUAACGGCUCACCAAGGCGACGACGGGUAGCCGGCCUGAGAGGGCGACCGGCCACACUGGGACUGAGACACGGCCCAGACUCCUACGGGAGGCAGCAGUGGGGAAUAUUGCGCAAUGGGCGAAAGCCUGACGCAGCAACGCCGCGUGAGGGAUGACGGCCUUCGGGUUGUAAACCUCUUUCAGCAGGGAAGAAGCGAAAGUGACGGUACCUGCAGAAGAAGCACCGGCUAACUACGUGCCAGCAGCCGCGGUAACAC
rnacentral:rRNA from 1 species